GACGAACCGUCCAAACGUUAUUCGGAAUUAUUGGGCUUAAAGGGUGCGUAGGCUGUGCAGUAAGUUGGGUGUGAAAUCCCUCGGCUCAACCGAGGAACUGCGCCGAAUACUGCUGUGCUAGAGGAAGAUAUGGGUAAGCGGAACUGAUGGUGGAGCGGUGAAAUGCGUUGAUAUCAUCAGGAACACCGGUGGCGAAGGCGGCUUACUGGAUCUUUUCUGACGCUGAUGCACGAAAGCUAGGGGAGCGAACGGG
rnacentral:rRNA from 1 species